AACCCAUGAUUUGGUCAUUUUCUAAGCAUGAUUUUGAAUCUCUCCCAUGUCUCACAUAAAGAUUUAUCUGCUCCUUGUCUGAACAUAGAGAUUUCAAUCUUUGGUU
rnacentral:snoRNA from 1 species